UGUUCACCCCAGCUAUAAUGGGAUGAAGAAGUGUUAAAAGGCUUUAUCAUCCUCCAUUAACCAACGAAGAUGUCUGACACCUAUAUCCCUCCCUGCUCAGGAGGACAUAAGGAUUAAGCACAGGAUCCUAUUGCUCCAAGGAACAUCAUCAAUGUUUCUGUGCCUCCACCCCAGCAAGUGAGUAGAAGUCUUCCUAUGGACACCAAGGGGUGAUCCCUUUACCUGAAUGAGCUCCUCAUUCGAGCUGAACUCGGACACCAUGACGUUCUGGCCGUCCACCACCCGCGUCAGAGAGAUGUGCAGCCGCCCCGAUGCCACCAGGCUGAUGCCGCACACCACGGCGGCGGCGAUGAGUGAUCCGGCAGACGAUCCGUACACCUUGCAGGCAGAUUUGAGCAGCUCGGGGGCCAACUCCAGGAGGGACUGCACCACCCCAACCUGAUACAGCACGAGGAACCCACUGCCCGAAAAGGAGAGCGAGAAAGGGGUGCCCGGAGCACGCAGCUCCUCUGCAGCCAUCUCCAGGGCAAGCGUCCACCUCGGUGCCUUCCUCACCAAACAGAGCUCAGGCUCUCAUCUCCGGGUGCAUCCCUG
rnacentral:lncRNA from 1 species